rnacentral:rRNA from 1 species
CACGUAGGGUGCAAGCGUUGUCCGGAAUCACUGGGCGUAAAGCGCACGUAGGCGGAUUGUUAAGUCAGGGGUGAAAUCCUGGAGCUCAACUCCAGAACUGCCUUUGAUACUGGCGAUCUUGAGUCCGGGAGAGGUGAGUGGAACUGCGAGUGUAGAGGUGAAAUUCGUAGAUAUUCGCAAGAACACCAGUGGCGAAGGCGGACUCACUGGCCCGGUACUGACGCUGAGGUGCGAAAGCGUGGGGAGCAAACAGGAGUUAGAUGACC